rfam:Cricetulus griseus cell line CHO-K1, whole genome shotgun sequence.
UGAGCAAUUUUGCUGCAACUUCUCUCAUUCCUUUGAUCAUCAGGGUUUAUUGGGUUGCUCUUCAUCACUACUCAAUGUGCGUCCCUCCCAGAGCUGCAUGUUCGGGUAAAAAAGGCAACUUUUGCCAAAUAAAGGAGGGCCAGUCUUUCGUCAAUGAUGUGUGAGUAGUUGUGCUUCUGCUGAUAGAACAUAAAAACAAGUUAUCAAAGCAAAUUUAUUUAUUUUUUAAUGUGAAGUUCAAAUGUGCCAUGGUGCCCAU